GAUGAACGCUAGCUACAGGCUUAACACAUGCAAGUCGCGGGGCAGCAUGGGGGUUGCUUGCAAUCCCCGAUGGCGACCGGCGCACGGGUGAGUAACGCGUAUCCAACCUGCCCUUCACCACGGGAGAACCCGGCGAAAGUCGGACUAAUACCGUAUGUGGUCCAUUGACGGCAUCCGAAUGGGACGAAAGGCUGGGCGGUGAGGGGUGGGGAUGCGUCCGAUUAGCCAGACGGCGGGGUAACGGCCAACCGUGGCUACGGUCGGUAGGGGUUCUGAGAGGAAGGUCCCCCACACUGGAACUGAGACACGGUCCAGACUCCUACGGGAGGCAGCAGUGAGGAAUAUUGGUCAAUGGGCGUAAGCCUGAACCAGCCAAGUAGCGUGCAGGAUGACGGCCCUAUGGGUUGUAAACUGCUUUUAUGCGGGGAUAAAGUGGCCCACGGGUGGGCUCUUGCAGGUACCGCAUGAAUAAGGACCGGCUAAUUCCGUG
rnacentral:rRNA from 1 species